GAGGAGCCCCUGUGACUUCCUGUUGCUGCUUUGUUUUCACAGAACCAUACAGAAGUCCUUGUGGUUUUCUCAAGGUUAUUUCUGAGUCCUGGAACCAUGGAGGAGCCAUGAUUUCAGGUGGAGCAGCUGUGGAUUGGGAUAGAGGAUGCAUCCUGUGAAAGAAGUUGCAGAGUCGGACGGAGAGAGAUUGGCAGGCAUACCGUCAUGUGAAUGACGGAGAGGACAAGAAAGGAAGAAGUAACUAUUAAACUACACUAAAACUAACAGGUAAGGCACUAUCUAACAGGUCAAAAGGAGAAACAGGCUGUGCUGCAGAUUCCGUCCCAGACCAAAGGCACUAGAGAAGAAACCGGGAGGGUGGUCAGACCGCACAGUGCUAUAUCUAUGUCCCGCUCAUGGUAUGAGACUGGGAGGUGAGCAUGUGUGGUCCAACAGGCACUGCUGAUGAAGAUCUCCGAACCCAGACGCAGGCGGAGCUGCCCCACCUACAGUGGAGCACCCAUAGGGACAUUACUCAAAGAAAAAGUAUAAGUUCUUCUUCAGUGGCAUCCAUCUCCAAAAGGGGGUAAAUAUU